CAAACUCAGCUAAAUGGGAAAGAUAACCUGUAAACGGACAAAUAUAACAUAGUGCUGAGUCUUGUGAUGGGGACAUGCUCAGGGUGCUACAGAACCAUAUCCUAUCUAUCAGCUUAGGGAAGUAUUUCCUCAGGAAAUGCUGCUUUAAGUGUGUUGUAAAGGUUAAGAAUUUGUGGGCUUAGGGAUUUGGGUGACAGUAUAUAAAAAGAAGAGUGGGAUUUCAAGUUUAGGAACUACCAGCAGUUAAAAUAUUGCUGCAUUUUAGAGCUUCAAUAAGAGUGUUUAGAGGUAGUUUGGAGCUAAGGUCUCAGAAGACUUUGUAUAUUGGCUAAGAACUUUAUCCUCAAAAAGGUGCAAACUAUGAAGGCACAAUCUCAAUAAGGAUAAGGGAUGAACUUGGAUCCUUGCACUUGUGAGGCAGCAGCAGAACCACUGAGCUAAAUCCCUGGCCCUUUCAGCUGUUUUUAUAGGGAUGCUGAGUGACUCUUUCUCCUCCACCCGGAACUUGCCAUAACUGGAUUGGCUUCCAGGCACCUCUAAGCUACUUGGAUCCACACUACAGAGGCAUAGAGGGGCAUAAAGGCCAUUGCCUGAGCUGCAGAAGUGAACAACAGAGAGAGGGCCUCUCUCAGGCUCCCUGAUGAAAACUGAAGCCCACUGGAAAAGUGAAGAGAAUCUCUGCAAUAAAGACACACCAGACCACUGUGCUUGUACCUGGGAAUCGAACUUGGGACCUUGCGCUUGUGAGGCAGGCACCGGAACCACUGAGGAACUGUGGAUUGAACUCAGGACCUUGUACUUGCCAAGCAGGCACAGCACCACUGAGCUAAAUCCCUGGCUUACUUUAUUUGAGAUAGGUCACUCUUGUAAUUCAGGCUGGCCUCAAACUCCUGGCCAUAGGUUCUGCCUCAGCCUCCAGAGUGCUAGGAUUAUAGGCAUGUGCCACCACUCUGAGCAUGAACUAUAUUUAUAUAGCAAGACCCUAUCUUAACCAAAAAUAAAUAAACUAUAAAGAAACAAACAAACUGUUGGGAUCACAACAAAG
rnacentral:lncRNA from 1 species